UGAGUUGGUAUGUUUCUGGUAGUACUGUACGUCACUAGGGGAAGUACCAGCUUCA
rnacentral:pre_miRNA from 1 species